CAAGUCGAGCGGUAACAGAUCCAGCUUGCUGGAUGCUGACGAGCGGCGGACGGGUGAGUAAUGCAUAGGAAUCUGCCCGGUAGUGGGGGAUAACCUGGGGAAACCCAGGCUAAUACCGCAUACGUCCUACGGGAGAAAGGGGGCUCCGGCUCCCGCUAUGGGAUGAGCCUAUGUCGGAUUAGCUAGUUGGUGAGGUAACGGCUCACCAAGGCCACGAUCCGUAGCUGGUCUGAGAGGAUGAUCAGCCACAUCGGGACUGAGACACGGCCCGAACUCCUACGGGAGGCAGCAGUGGGGAAUAUUGGACAAUGGGGGCAACCCUGAUCCAGCCAUGCCGCGUGUGUGAAGAAGGCCCUCGGGUUGUAAAGCACUUUCAGCGAGGAAGAACGCCUAGCGGUUAAUACCCGCUAGGAAAGACAUCACUCGCAGAAGAAGCACCGGCUAACUCCGUGCCAGCAGCCGCGGUAAUACGGAGGGUGCAAGCGUUAAUCGGAAUUACUGGGCGUAAAGCGCGCGUAGGUGGCUUGAUAAGCCGGUUGUGAAAGCCCCGGGCUCAACCUGGGAACGGCAUCCGGAACUGUCAAGCUAGAGUGCAGGAGAGGAAGGUAGAAUUCCCGGUGUAGCGGUGAAAUGCGUAGAGAUCGGGAGGAAUACCAGUGGCGAAGGCGGCCUUCUGGACUGACACUGACACUGAGGUGCGAAAGCGUGGGUAGCAAACAGGAUUAGAUACCCUGGUAGUCCACGCCGUAAACGAUGUCGACCAGCCGUUGGGUGCCUAGCGCACUUUGUGGCGAAGUUAACGCGAUAAGUCGACCGCCUGGGGAGUACGGCCGCAAGGUUAAAACUCAAAUGAAUUGACGGGGGCCCGCACAGCGGUGGAGCAUGUGGUUUAAUUCGAUGCACGCGA
rnacentral:rRNA from 2 species